GACGGAGGGUGCAAGCGUUGUUCGGAAUUACUGGGCGUAAAGCGUACGUAGGCGGUUGAUUAAGUCAAAUGUUAAAGCCCGGGGCUCAACCCCGAGGAUGCAUUUGAUACUGGUCGACUAGAGGGCGAUAGAGGAAAGCGGAAUUCCGAGUGUAGCGGUGAAAUGCGUAGAUAUUCGGAGGAACAUCGGUAGCGAAAGCGGCUUUCUGGGUCGCUCCUGACGCUGAGGUACGAAAGCGUGGGUAGCAAACGGG
rnacentral:rRNA from 1 species